rnacentral:rRNA from 1 species
UACGUAGGGUGCGAGCGUUGUCCGGAAUUACUGGGCGUAAAGAGCUCGUAGGUGGUUUGUCGCGUUGUUCGUGAAAUCUCACGGCUUAACUGUGAGCGUGCGGGCGAUACGGGCAGACUAGAGUACUGCAGGGGAGACUGGAAUUCCUGGUGUAGCGGUGGAAUGCGCAGAUAUCAGGAGGAACACCGGUGGCGAAGGCGGGUCUCUGGGCAGUAACUGACGCUGAGGAGCGAAAGCGUGGGGAGCGAACAGGAUUAGAUACCCUGGUAGUCCACGCCGUAAACGGUGGGUACUAGGUGUGGGUUUCCUUCCUUGGGAUCCGUGCCGUAGCUAACGCAUUAAGUACCCCGCCUGGGGAGUACGGCCGCAAGGCUAAAACUCAA